UUUAAGGUCUAACCUGCCCAAUGAGGAUUUAAAUGGCCGCAGUAUUUUGACUGUGCAAAGGUAGCAUAAUUAUUAGUUUUUUAAUUGAAAGCUUGUAUGAAGGGUUGGACGAGAUAAAAUCUGUCUUUAUUUAAAUUAAAGUAUAAUUUAACUUUUAAGUCAAAAGGCUUAAAUGUUUAUAAAAGACGAGAAGACCCUAUAGAUCUUUAUUUAGUUAAGGUUUUAAUAAUUUAGGAUUAUUUUAAUUUGGAGUCUUAAUUGAAUUUUAUUGGGGUAAUAUAAAGAUUAAAUGAAUUCUUUUUAUUUAUGACAUUAAUUUAUGAAUAUAUGAUCCAUUAAUAUUGAUUAUAAGAUUAAGUUACCUUAGGGAUAACAGCGUAAUUUUUUUGGAGAGCUCAUAUCGAUAAGAAAGUUUGCGACCUCGAUGUUGGAUUAAAAAUUAGCUUGGGUGCAGAAGCUCAAGAUUUUGGUCUGUUCGACCAUUAAAUUUUUACAUGAUCUGAGUUCAGACCGGCGUAAGCCAGGUCGGUUUCUAUCUUUAUUCAGAUAAAAUAUUUUAGUACGAAAGGACCAAGUAUUUAAUAUAAUUAUAUUUAUUUUUUGAAGAAUAUU
rnacentral:rRNA from 1 species